ACUGGAGUCCAGAGCCGUAAGGUAAGAACAACUUUUUGGUUUUUGUGCGUGUACGCGAAAAUGAUGGACAGAUAUCAUAUAGUUACCUUUCCCAAUUUGGGCCCAUAUCAUUCAAUCCAUCUGAAUCUGAUAAACCAAUUAUGGUGCUUCACGAAGAAUAUUAUGGGCCCAAAAAGUUAGAUCCGCCUGCCCGAGACUCAGUAGGUCUGUACGGAGAUGCAUGGGAACGCUCCAUGGGAGGCUUUGCCAAGCUUGACUGUUGCAAACAUAUUUUGCAGACUCUCCAUCAAAGAUCGAGCGCGAAACGUCCCUUUCCUUUGCAGAUCAUGGGGCCACCCGACGCACAUCUGCACUGCUGGGCUUCCAUGAUCGCUGAAAAUUACUCUUCAUUCGGGAAUUCCGCUGCCGAUCAUGCUUUUCUGAUGGAUUCUUACCCUGACGGGCUCAGUUUUCCGGACCCUUUUGAUGGGAGGAGAAGCGCUUGUCACCACCGCGGCGUAGCAAGCCUGGAAGAGCUGGUAGCGGCGCCAUCGUCGCCUCCAUUAUUUCUUCCCUUUCCUCACUUCUAGCCAUGGGCCUGCUAAUGAUGAUGCCAUUUUUCGCCUUAUCGCCAAACGCUGCCCCAACUUGAAGCACCUUUUUUUCCAUGGAUCUCAGGAUGCUUCUCAGGAAGCGAUCGUGAAAUCAUCCGCAGCUGUUCAAAGCUUGAGCUCGUGGAUUUCUCUGAUUCACCAUAUUUCAACCCUCUGGUUUUGGGGGAAUUGAGCAACUACUGUCCUAAUAUCAGGGGGAUUAGAAGGAAUGGUCAUUUGGAACCAUCAUUUUCAUAUGCACUUAGUGCUGGAUUUCCUAGGUUGAGGCUCCUAAAUAUCUCCAAUUGACUGUCGUUUAUAAAGAUCUACUUUCAAUAGUGACCACAUGCAAGGAACUAUGCUAUCUAGACGUUGCAGGCUGCCAAAUGUUGGUAUGUUACAUGCACAUUAUUAAGGUGGCUUCUGCUGGGAUAGCUCAAGUUCUGUAUGAUUGAGCUUUUUCCAUUGUUUUUCUUUCUUGAUCACAUUUUGAUCUUGGUUUGAGAAUCGGGACGUGCUGAUUUUGUGGAAAUAGUUUUCUUGGAUAGAUGGCUUCCCGUUAUGUGAUUGAUUAUACUUAUUUCAUGUCUAAUCAGAUGAAGUUGGAAAUGAUCAGGGUAUGGAAUUUAUAAGAUUUUCUAAAUAGUUAUGACCUUCUCAUUGAACUAGAUAAUCCACUUCAACAGGUGAGGUGAACAGGCUUGGCCUGGCCUGGUCUGGCUGUUUGCAGUAUACAAGCACAAAUCCUAAGCUAGAAACUUCAGGACCAAAUACAAACACAUUUCUGAACAAAUAAACCAGAUAUUCAUGUGAAACGAAUAAAUGUUAGUAAGAGUCGUAUCAUAUUUACAUUUACAAAAUAACAAAAUAUUACACUGCACCCCAGAAGCCUGCUC